GGGGAUGUUCUGGCUUCGACGCUGGUAAUGAAACCUAAUGAUGCACGUCAAGAGCGUAUGUCUCUUGUAAAUCAACAUACAAUUUAAAAUAGUCGCAAACGACGAAACUUACGCACUAGCAGCCUAAGGGCUACUUGGGUCGGCACAGAUUGCCUUUGGUCUGGUUGCUCACCCCGAUGCGAACGCACAAAGGAUAGCAUCUGUUAGCGUUGCGAUGGCAGGUGUGAACUCUUAGCAAAUCGUCCAAUCCACCCUGACUGUCGGGUCGGUGCGGAUUAAAGCCAAAGACAGACUCUAAGCGUGUAGAGUCAUGGGCGUAGUGCUGGCGGACGCGGGUUCAACUCCCGCCAUCUCCACCA
rfam:Moraxella lacunata strain CCTG 57757A contig_13, whole genome shotgun sequence.